AUUGAACGCCGGCGGCAUGCCUUACACAUGCAAGUCGAACGGCAGCACGGGUGCUUGCACCUGGUGGCGAGUGGCGAACGGGUGAGUAAUACAUCGGAACAUGUCCUGUAGUGGGGGAUAGCCCGGCGAAAGCCGGAUUAAUACCGCAUACGAUCUACGGAUGAAAGCGGGGGACCUUCGGGCCUCGCGCUAUAGGGUUGGCCGAUGGCUGAUUAGCUAGUUGGUGGGGUAAAGGCCUACCAAGGCGACGAUCAGUAGAUGGUCUGAGAGGACGACCAGCCACACUGGGACUGAGACACGGCCCAGACUCCUACGGGAGGCAGCAGUGGGGAAUUUUGGACAAUGGGCGAAAGCCUGAUCCAGCAAUGCCGCGUGUGUGAAGAAGGCCUUCGGGUUGUAAAGCACUUUUGUCCGGAAAGAAAUCCUUGGCUCUAAUACAGUCGGGGGAUGACGGUACCGGAAGAAUAAGCACCGGCUAACUACGUG
rnacentral:rRNA from 1 species